ensembl:lncRNA
UAUUUAGAUUGUCAUAAUGGCGACAAUUUCUUCCCCAACCCCCUUUCCUAUAAAACAUUAACACGCUAUGAACUGAUGCGCAUAAAUAAAUAACUGCAGCAAAACACUGAAAAAAAAGAUGCGCAUAGGAGAGCGCAUUAGAUACAUCAACUCGGACGUGUUUAAAAUCGAGUCUAAUCUAAUGUCGACUUAGCUUCUGGGAAACGGCAUUUAGCUACUGAAGCAUCCACCCGUAUGACCAGGAGGAGAGUGUGGGGUCCUGGAGGACAGAGGAACACUGCACACAAUCUCCUUCACCCGGCAUCCUGGAGUGUUGAUCGGUGAACUCCUUGUUUUGUUUCAUUCUUACUUAGUAGUAUUUGUAUUAGGAAUCCCCGUUAGUCCAAACAUAUUAAAGGACUUACAUUACAUAUAAAACAAAAAUAUAACAAAAUAUAACAUAAUUUAACAUUAUUACACCACAACAUAUCUACAAUAUAAAAUGUUGAAUACUACCAUACAACAAUAUCACAAUGAAUGUGUAUGCAUGUGUCUGUACCUUUGUGUGUGUCUCUUCACAGUCCC